UAGGGAAUCUUUGGCAAUGGGGGGAACCCUGACCGAGCAACGCCGCGUGAGUGAAGAAGGUUUUCGGAUCGUAAAGAUCUGUUGUCAAGGAAGAACGAGUGUGAGAAUGGAAAGUUCAUACUGUGACGGUAUCUAACCAGAAAGACACGGCUAACUACGUGCCAGCAGCCGCGGUAAUACGUAGGUGGCAAGCGUUGUCCGGACUUAUUGGGCGUAAAGCGAGCGCAGGCGGUCAAUUAAGUCUGAUGUGAAAGCCCCCGGCUCAACCGGGAAGGCUCAUUGAAAACUGAUUGACUUGAGUGCAGAAGAGGAGAGUGGAAUUCCAUGUGUAGCGGUGAAAUGCGGAGAUAUAUAGGGGAACACCAGUGGCGAGGGCGACUCUCUGGUCUGUAACUGACGCUGAGGCUCGAGAGCGUGGGUAGCAAACAGG
rnacentral:rRNA from 1 species